rnacentral:rRNA from 1 species
AGGCUUUGAUCCUGGCUCAGAUUGAACGCUGGCGGCAUGCCUAACACAUGCAAGUCGAACGGUAACAGGCCCUUCGGGGCGCUGACGAGUGGCGGACGGGUGAGUAAUGUUUGGGAAUCUGCCCUGUAGUGGGGGAUAACCCGGGGAAACUCGGGCUAAUACCGCAUACGAUCUACGGAUGAAAGCGGGGGACCUUCGGGCCUCGCGCUAUAGGAUGAGCCCAAAUCGGAUUAGCUAGUUGGUGGGGUAAAGGCCUACCAAGGCGACGAUCCGUAGCUGGUCUGAGAGGACGAUCAGCCACACCGGAACUGAGACACGGUCCGGACUCCUACGGGAGGCAGCAGUGGGGAAUAUUGGACAAUGGGCGAAAGCCUGAUCCAGCAAUGCCGCGUGUGUGAAGAAGGCCUGCGGGUUGUAAAGCACUUUCAGUAGAGAAGAAAAGCCUGGGGCUAAUACCUCCGGGUCUUGACGUAACCUACAGAAGAAGCACCGGCUA